GGUCAUCCCGACUUACCAAACCGAUGCAAACUCCGAAUACCCAGAAGUGCCGAGCAUGGGAGACACACGGCGGGUGCUAACGUCCGUCGUGAAAAGGGAAACAACCCAGACCGCCAGCUAAGGUCCCAAAGUUGUGGUUAAGUGGUAAACGAUGUGGGAAGGCUUAGACAGCUAGGAGGUUGGCUUAGAAGCAGCCACCCUUUAAAGAAAGCGUAAUAGCUCACUAGUCGAGUCGGCCUGCGCGGAAGAUGUAACGGGGCUCAAACCACACACCGAAGCUGCGGGUGUCACGCAAGUGACGCGGUAGAGGAGCGUUCUGUAAGCCUGUGAAGGUGAGUUGAGAAGCUUGCUGGAGGUAUCAGAAGUGCGAAUGCUGACAUGAGUAACGACAAUGGGUGUGAAAAACACCCACGCCGAAAGACCAAGGGUUCCUGCGCAACGUUAAUCGACGCAGGGUUAGUCGGUUCCUAAGGCGAGGCUGAAAAGCGUAGUCGAUGGGAAACAGGUUAAUAUUCCUGUACUUCUGGUUACUGCGAUGGAGGGACGGAGAAGGCUAGGCCAGCUUGGCGUUGGUUGUCCAAGUUUAAGGUGGUAGGCUGAAAUCUUAGGUAAAUCCGGGGUUUCAAGGCCGAGAGCUGAUGACGAGUCGUCUUUUAGAUGACGAAGUGGUUGAUGCCAUGCUUCCAAGAAAAGCUUCUAAGCUUCAGGUAACCAGGAACCGUACCCCAAACCGACACAGGUGGUCGGGUAGAGAAUACCAAGGCGCUUGAGAGAACUCGGGUGAAGGAACUAGGCAAAAUGGCACCGUAACUUCGGGAGAAGGUGCGCCGGCUAGGGUGAAGGAUUUACUCCGUAAGCCCUGGCUGGUCGAAGAUACCAGGCCGCUGCGACUGUUUAUUAAAAACACAGCACUCUGCAAACACGAAAGUGGACGUAUAGGGUGUGACGCCUGCCCGGUGCCGGAAGGUUAAUUGAUGGGGUUAGCGCAAGCGAAGCUCUUGAUCGAAGCCCCGGUAAACGGCGGCCGUAACUAUAACGGUCCUAAGGUAGCGAAAUUCCUUGUCGGGUAAGUUCCGACCUGCACGAAUGGCGUAACGAUGGCGGCGCUGUCUCCACCCGAGACUCAGUGAAAUUGAAAUCGCUGUGAAGAUGCAGUGUAUCCGCGGCUAGACGGAGAGACCCCGUGAACCUUUACUGUAGCUUUGCACUGGACUUUGAGCCUGCUUGUGUAGGAUAGGUGGGAGGCUUUGAAGCGUGGACGCCAGUUCGCGUGGAGCCAUCCUUGAAAUACCACCCUGGCAUGCUUGAGGUUCUAACUCUGGUCCGUGAUCCGGAUCGAGGACAGUGUAUGGUGGGCAGUUUGACUGGGGCGGUCUCCUCCUAAAGAGUAACGGAGGAGUACGAAGGUGCGCUCAGACCGGUCGGAAAUCGGUCGUAGAGUAUAAAGGCAAAAGCGCGCUUGACUGCGAGACAGACACGUCGAGCAGGUACGAAAGUAGGUCUUAGUGAUCCGGUGGUUCUGUAUGGAAGGGCCAUCGCUCAACGGAUAAAAGGUACUCCGGGGAUAACAGGCUGAUACCGCCCAAGAGUUCAUAUCGACGGCGGUGUUUGGCACCUCGAUGUCGGCUCAUCACAUCCUGGGGCUGAAGCCGGUCCCAAGGGUAUGGCUGUUCGCCAUUUAAAGUGGUACGCGAGCUGGGUUUAGAACGUCGUGAGACAGUUCGGUCCCUAUCUGCCGUGGACGUUUGAGAUUUGAGAGGGGCUGCUCCUAGUACGAGAGGACCGGAGUGGACGAACCUCUGGUGUUCCGGUUGUCACGCCAGUGGCAUUGCCGGGUAGCUAUGUUCGGAAAAGAUAACCGCUGAAAGCAUCUAAGCGGGAAACUUGCCUCAAGAUGAGAUCUCACUGGGAACUUGAUUCCCCUGAAGGGCCGUCGAAGACUACGACGUUGAUAGGCUGGGUGUGUAAGCGUUGU
rnacentral:rRNA from 1 species